GAACACUCUGAAGUAGUUAGGACUUCCUUCUUUAAAGAACAGAUGAUAUAGUUUUCCAAACUGUCUAAUCGAAAGACGUUUUCUCAAGGGCUAGCGUAAAAGACAGAACAGAGUAUUUUGUAAAGACGAACCCUAAGUUCCUAAGURAUAUGUCAAUGUUGGCGACACUGCUAAUCGCUACCGCACACUUGUUCGGAAUCGCAUCAGGAAAGUUGCAGUGCAUAGGGACUUGUUAUUCAGGAGGCAGCCACCCGAGGGAUGAAGAUACCUUCCAAGAAAAGUACAUUAAGGGAUAUUCUUAUAAAAAUAUAACCACGACCGACCAUAUCACGUGUUAUCGCUCGUGCAUUCAAGAUUGUCGAUGCAAAGCUUGUCAGAUCAAAGGCGAUCGAUGUGAGCUUCUUGAUGCUGACAAUAAAUUCAAUGGAAUAAACUUCAAYRAAGAGAAGRGAUAUGUGUAUUAUGACCUUGCACAGACACAGUACAAGGGGAAAUCUCACAUGAACCCUCCCGAUGGGUGUUAUAACGGCUGUUGCAAAAUGAAGCCCUGCCUGAAUGGAG